rnacentral:rRNA from 1 species
UACCGGGCGACCGGAUGCGGAUCUCGAAAGCCUGUCCCAGUUCGGACUGGAGUCUGCAACCCGACUCCACGAAGUUGGAUUCGCUAGUAAUCGCGCAUCAGCCAUGGCGCGGUGAAUACGUUCCCGGGCCUUGUACACACCGCCCGUCAAGCCAUGGGAGCCGGGGGUGCUUGAAGUGCGUCGCCGCAAGGCGCGCCCUAGAGCAAAACCGGUGACUGAGGCUAAGUCGUAACAAGGUAAC